CUAUUAACUGAUAAGUUAUUAGUACAAAAGAACAACUACUUAGCUUUUUUCUAAUUUUUAAAUUAAGUCCAAUAGUCCAUUAGCCUUUAGGUACUUAAUAUUAUAGUGUUAUUAGUGUUAAAAUAUAAAAAUAUAUACAUAGUUUAUAAUAAAACGUGCAAUACAUCAUUACCAUUUACCUGUAUCAAGUGUAUGGCUGUUUGGAUUAUGGACACUGGAUUACUAAAACAAGGUUUAUUUCAUAGAGUAAUACUUGAUGUGAACAAAAAAAUAAUAAGCCACCAAUAUAAACAGAAAAUUCGUUAAACCGUAUAUAUUAUAAUUUUCAGCUCAUCGGGGUGAGAUGAUUAAAUGAAGAUGGAUGAACAUGGCUGUUUCUUCGGCGAUGGCGGCACUCUAGCUACGUUUCACCGGAAGAGUAGAUGUUUACGACCGUUGCAGAAGACACAGUCGAUUAAAAAUUCUAAAAUUUCAAUAAGCAAAGAAGAUACGAGCAAAAAACUUACCGCGUUUCGUAUAAUUUUAUUUUUCAUAAAUCACAAUAUUCUAAGUUCUGUAUUCUGAAGCGUUUCCUCAUGGGCGUCGCAGUUCACGUCACGGAUUCCGCCGAAAGAGUCGAUAAUUAAAGUAAGUUUGUUUUUAUAUUCUUUUGGGGCUUAAAUUUACUUUUAAGACUUAAAAUAAAUAUUUAAUGUCACGAAAAAUGUGCUAUCCAAGAAUUUUAGUUCCGAACUAGAAAUGUAUAAACUACGCGAGAUAUAAACGUCGUCGUCGUUUUUCCAGUCCCUGUUCGUAGAAUAAUUAUAAUUAAUGGAUGCAUACCUAUAUAGGGUACUUAAUAUUUAUAUGCUUUGGUUUAAUUUAUAGAAAUAUAUGUCAUAACUUAUAACUUAUAAUAGUCAUAAGAUACAAUUUUAAUUAAUAACUGGUAAUUUUUUUUCCAAAUACAACGUUAUAAGUUAUAGGUAACUAUUAAUUUAGUGUCACAUACUUAACUUCUAUUGUUCACCUAAUAUCGAUAUUCUAUAUAAUAGGGAUCAGGGACGUAUAACCAUGUACACAUAAAAGUAAUAUUCACGGAAUGGUCAACUGCCUAUCCUGACGUGUGCGCACUUAUGAAUUAUAUACUUACUCAUAUACUCGUAUAGGUAUAUAAAUAUACCUAUAUAAAUAGUGUAAUACUACACACACGAAUGUGUUACCUAUUAUGUCCCUAAAAGUUUAACAUUAUUAUCUUUAUUUAUUUUUUACAUAUAGGUAGGUAUACUACUAGACUCUAAUUAAAAUCACAUUUAUUUUUAUUUUUUCGAACACAAUGUUUCAAAAAUUAUUAAUUAAUAUAUAAUUCAUUGGUAUAGUAUUAAAUAAAUUAAUGAAAUAAUACAAACACACCUACUAUAAUUAUUAGUAAUAAUAAUGUAUCCAUGCAUAAAUUAUUAAAAUACAAAACGAACA